AAACCAUAUAUUUUUUUUGACAACCAUAGAUUUUAUGUUGUCCAAAACUACAAUUUCAAUUAGAAUCAUCCAAAAGUACAAUUUGAACAUCGUAAUAUUAACAACGUAUUUGACACCGUGUAUGUUUAUCUCUAUCUCUCUUACUUUUUAUUUUAUACACUUGACACAUUUAAAAAAUAUGCACAAAUUACACUUACAACAAUUUGACAACAAUUUUUUGUUGUACAAACAUCAUUUCCCAUUUUGAAAAUAUGUGUUUUUUAACAAAUGUAAAUGGGAAAGUUCCUCCCCUAAUACAAUUAUUUCCAUAUAGUGUCAUAAAUUUCAUAUGUAAUUGUUAUUCUACAAUAUUAGAAUUCCAACACUCCUUUUGAUAAAAAAUAAAAUAAUUCCAACACUCCAUAGCUUAUAACUUGUUAAUUGUUAAAGCACCUCAAGGGGGGAAAAAUUUUAAAUAUGAAAAAUAAUUCCUUGCACAACGUUCUAGUAAUUUUUCUUCUGGUUGUGCUAGUAAUUUUUCAUCUGAUUCAAAAAAGGGGGCAUAGUUUUAUCAAAUCUCAGUCAUUUAUCAUGUAAAAUGGUUUCGACUUAACAGGUGAUAUUAUAGUAAACAUCUCCAACUAAACCAAAUCCUUUCAGUACAACAAAAUGACACAAGAUAGUACCUUUAUACAAGAUGUAGUAGAUUCUAGCCUCACAUAUCAAGUAUCAAAACCAGAAUAGACUCCAUUGUCCCUCAACAGU
rnacentral:lncRNA from 1 species